AGAGUUUGAUCAUGGCUCAAUUGAACGCUAGCGGCAUGCCCAACACAUGCAAGUCGAACGGCAGAGCAGAGGGGUUAUGCUCCCUGGCGGCGAGUGGCGGACGGGUGAGUAAUACGUAGGAAUCUGCCUUAUAGAGGGGGACAACCCGGGAAACUCGGGCUAAUACCGCAUGAUCUCUAUGGAGUAAAGCGGGGAUCUUCUGACCUCGCGCUAUAAGAUGAGCCUAUGUCCGGAUUAGCUUGUUGGUGGGGUAAUUGCCUACCAAGGCGACGAUCCGUAGCUGAGUACAGAGGAUGGUCAGCCACACUGGGACUGAGACACGGCCCAGACUCCUACGGGAGGCAGCAGUGGGGAAUCUUGGACAAUGGAAACCCUGAUCCAGCAAUGCCGCGUGUGUGAAGAAGGCCUCGGGUUGUAAAGCACUUUCAGUAGGAAGAAAUUCUCAAGAGUAAUAUACUUGAAGGUUGACGUUACCUACAGAAGAAGCACUGGCUAACUCUGUGCCAGCAGCCGCGGUAAUACAGAGAGUGCGAGCGUUAAUCGGAAUCACUGGGCGUAAAGGGCGCUUGUAAUUGGAUGACUAAGUCGGAUGUGAAAGCCCUGAAGCAACACAGGAACUGCACUCGAUACUGGAUAUCUCGAGUAUGGUAGAAGUGGAAUUUUCGGUGUAGCGGUGAAAUGCGUAGAUGUCGAAAGAACACCAGUGGCGAAGGCGGCUUCCUGGACCAAUACUGACGCUGGUGCAGCGUGGGAGCAAACAGGAUUAGAGGCCCUGUUAGUCACGCCGAUAACGAUGAGAACUAGCUGUUGGAAGUUUACUUUCUAGUAGCGAAGCUAACGAAUUAAGUUGGCCGCCUGGGAGUACGGCCGCAAGGUUAAAACUCAAAGAAAUUGACGGGGGCCCGCACAAGCGGUGGAGCAUGUGGUUUAAUUCGAUGCAACGCGAAAAACCUUACCUACCCUUGACAUCCUCAGAACUUGUCAGAAAUGACUUGGUGCGCUAGGAUCCUGAGUGACUGGGUGCUGCGCGUAUCGUCAGCUCAUCGUGAGAUGUUGGGUUAAGUCCCGUAAUGGCUUUCUUCCCUCGUCCUUAGUUGCCAGCAGUUUCAGUCGGGAACUCUAAGGAGACUGCCGGUGAUAAACCGGAGGAAGGUGGGGAUGAUGUCAAGUCAUCAUGGCCCUUACAGGUAGGGCUACACACGUGCUACAAUGGGCAGUACAAAGGGUUGCCAAACCAUAAGGUGGAGCCAAUCCCAAAAAACUGCUCUUAGUCGGAUUGAAGUCUGCAACUCGACUUCAUGAAGCUGGAAUCGCUAGUAAUCGCGAAUCAGAAUGUCGCGGUGAAUACGUUCUCGGGCCUUGUACACACCGCCCGUCACACCAUGGGAGUGGUGUACCAGAAGCGGGUAGGCUAACCUUCGAGUGGAGCCGCUCACCACGGUGUGGUUCAUGACUG
rnacentral:rRNA from 1 species